GACGAACGCUGGCGGCGUGCUUAACACAUGCAAGUCGAGCGGUAAGGCCCUUUCGGGGGUACACGAGCGGCGAACGGGUGAGUAACACGUGGGUGACCUGCCCUCAGCUCUGGGAUAAGCCUGGGAAACCGGGUCUAAUACUGGAUAUGACUCCAUGACGCAUGUUGUGGGGUGGAAAGCCUUGUGCGGCUGAGGAUGGGCCCGCGGCCCUAUCAGCUUGUUGGUGGGGUGANGGCCUACCAAGGCGACGACGGGUAGCCGGCCUGAGAGGGCGACCGGCCACACUGGGACUGAGACACGGCCCAGACUCCUACGGGAGGCAGCAGUGGGGAAUCUUGCGCAAUGGGCGAAAGCCCUGACGCAGCGACGCCGCGUGAGGGAU
rnacentral:rRNA from 1 species